AUUAUAUAUCAUAGUCAAAUUUGUUAACGCUGUCAGAUUGAUUGAGAGAAUAUUCGUUGUAAUCAUUCACAUGUUAAAAGGCGCAGAUUUUCAAGUAACAAGGUCAUCGAUUUUGUGCAAAACUAGUUUGCUCAACGACCACAAAGCUUUCAUAAUAUUGGGAGUACAAAUUAGUUCGGUCCGUUUUCCAAAAGAUAACUCUGGUUGUUGUGAAUGGUUCAUAGUGACAGCUGAUUUUGGCGGUUUCAGAGAGAAAAGUGCAGCUGAAGCCCAUCGAAUGCUUGUCGAAGUUUAUGGUGACACUGCUCCAACUGAUAAAUCAUGUAGGGAAUGGUUUCGACGUUUCAAGGAUGGAGAUUUCAGCGUUGAAGACAAGCCUCGCUCUGGACAGCCAAAAAAUUCGAAGACAAAGAAUUAGAGGCAUUACUCGAAGAAGAUCAGAGUCAAACGCAAGAGGAGCUUGCAGGAUCAUUGGGAGUAACUCAACAAGCCGUUUCUGUACGAUU